UCAGCCUUUGUGUCCCUGCUGACUCUUUGUGACUCUGCAGCCUGUGGGGAGGGGGUCACUGAAGACGGAGGAGGGUGCCUCACAACAUGGCUCAGCACCGUUCACUAAGAAAGGCUGACGUCACCUUGGCUUCUGGUUCUUUCUGCUGGGAUCCUGAGGGCAAAUUGAAGAAAAUCAGCACAAACACCAGCGGAGGAGAGAGAGGUCCGUCCGCCUCCGGCCGAGCCUGGCUCCUGCACGGGGAACCACCCCCCGGGCUUCGGAACAGAUUCUUCUUUCUCACAAUAAUCAAGAACAAGCCCCCAGGGAGCCGCGAGUCAGAGCACGCCCCAAGCCUGGGCCGCCAGUCCUCCCACCAGUGUCCUUGGGGGGGCGGGUCUCAAAGCGCUGCCAGAGCUACCAGCGGGGGCCAAGUACCCGCCUCCCCCUGGGACACACAGAGCCCGGGAAGAGCAGCGCCCCCUGGAGCCCGGGCUCCCGCAGCCCAAACCCCACAGUGACCAGCAGGGCGGCGACUGUGGCAGGGGUUGUCAUCAAAGACCCAGUGGGGGCCUGAUAACAUGGCUCUGCCCCAUCCACUAAGAAAGGCUGACGUCACCUCGGCCUCUGGCCCUUCUCUCUGCCGGGACCCCCCCGGGGGGAGGGGCAGGGAGGCUGCGGGAGAUGAGGGGGCUGCGCGCGCACUCACAGGCGCCCUAAUAAACCCUGACACACUCAGGAGCUCUUGCACACCCACUGUGUGCGCGGCAACUCUGCCCCACGCAGGGUCCCAGGACUAGGGCAAAGCAGUUAGGUCCGGGGCUUGCCUGCCCUCACUCUGCCUGUGGCUGCAAUGGGUGGAGCUGGCCAGGCGCGUGUGCACAGUGGCGACUGAAGCCAGGACCCCCUCCUGUCUGUGGCUCAUACAGUGACAGCCGAAGCUGCGCGUGCGCAAUUGCGCAAAGAAGACAAUGACACGAGGAACUAGGUGACGAGUGGGCGGAGUUAAAGAAGCGCCUGCGCGGUAUCCCGUCCUCACUGACCUAAACAGCUCUGGAAGCGAGCCUAAGGUGGGGGAUAGGAGGGCGGGGAGAGCGGGAGCAGGUGCCGCACGCGCUCCCUCAAACUGUCCCCCCAGCUCACCUUGGUGCCUCCGACGGAACAGGAGGCAGGAAACCGCGAGCGAGGAGCCGGUUCGACGCCGGCUUUACCUUCUCCGGGUCAGGGAGUCAGAGGUGCUUUCGGAAAGGCGGAAGUAGCAUUACCCUGAUACAUUAAACUAGGCGGCAAGCGGGAUAGCCUAUGGAACCGCAGCCCGGCCAUCCCCAAAGCCUUCUGGGAAGUAGAGUGCGGAAAAGGAAGGUCCCGUCCUGCGCGCGCGUAAGAGUUGCUGACUUAGACUACAGCUCCCAGGAGACAUUGCGACCCUCCGCCCCCUUUUCUUUUAAAUGCCCAAAAGCUUUGAGUCUGCACACU